CCUACGGGCGGCAGCAGUGGGGAAUAUUGGACAAUGGGCGAAAGCCUGAUCCAGCCAUGCCGCGUGUGUGAAGAAGGCCUUCGGGUUGUAAAGCACUUUCAGUGGGGAAGAAAGCCUUGGGGCUAAUACCCUCGAGGAAGGACAUCACCCACAGAAGAAGCACCGGCUAACUCCGUGCCAGCAGCCGCGGUAAUACGGAGGGUGCGAGCGUUAAUCGGAAUUACUGGGCGUAAAGCGCGCGUAGGCGGUCUGAUAAGCCGGUUGUGAAAGCCCCGGGCUCAACCUGGGAACGGCAUCCGGAACUGUCAGGCUAGAGUGCAGGAGAGGAAGGUAGAAUUCCCGGUGUAGCGGUGAAAUGCGUAGAGAUCGCGAGGAAUACCAGUGGCGAAGGCGGCCUUCUGGACUGACACUGACGCUGAGGUGCGAAAGCGUGGGUAGCAAACAGGAUUAGAUACCCGAGUAGUC
rnacentral:rRNA from 1 species